UCAUUGAUCUCUCCGAGCAUAUGAGUAAGAAUAGUAAUGGUGGGUUUAAAGGCUCACGUUAAAUUCCUUUAAUUUCUGGGAAGUCCUUAUUAAAAGGAUAAUCAGAAGCGAAGCUCUAUUAAACUAAUAGAGAACGUUCAACGACUAUCGAAAAUCUUAUUAAUAAAGAUGAGUAGAGUACCCCACAAGCGAUUGGUGGCAGGUUUCUGAGAUGAAAUCUGGUAUACUUUUAUUUAUGUAUACUGGGAAACAGGGAACUUUGAAGAUAUAGUCUCAACUUCAUGGUAACAUGGAG
rnacentral:ncRNA from 1 species